rnacentral:rRNA from 1 species
AGCUCAGCACUGGGUGUAAAGCGUGCGCAGGCGGUUUUGUAAGACAGAGGUGAAAUCCCCGGGCUCAACCUGGGAACUGCCUUUGUGACUGCAAGGCUGGAGUGCGGCAGAGGGGGAUGGAAUUCCGCGUGUAGCAGUGAAAUGCGUAGAUAUGCGGAGGAACACCGAUGGCGAAGGCAAUCCCCUGGGCCUGCACUGACGCUCAUGCACGAAAGCGUGGGGAGCAAACA